UGGGGAAUAUUGCACAAUGGGCGCAAGCCUGAUGCAGCCAUGCCGCGUGUAUGAAGAAGGCUUUCGGGUUGUAAAGUACUUUUAUCGGGGAGGAAGGGAGUAAAGUUAACACCUUUGCCCAUUGACGUUACCCGCAGAAGAAGCACCGGCUAACUCCGUGCCAGCAGCCGCGGUAAUACGGAGGGUGCAAGCGUUAAUCGGAAUUACUGGGCGUAAAGCGCACGCAGGCGGUUUGUUAAGUCAGAUGUGAAAUCCCCGGGCUCAACCUGGGAACUGCAUCUGAAACUGGGAGACUUGAGUCUAGUAGAGGGGGGUAGAAUUCCAGGUGUAGCGGUGAAAUGCGUAGAGAUAUGGAGGAACACCGGUGGCGAAGGCGGCUCCCUGGACGAAGACUGACGCUCAGGUGCGAAAGCGUGGGGAGCAAACAGG
rnacentral:rRNA from 1 species